UCCGGUGACCGGGCCCCUCUGGCGAAUGUGGCGGCGCAUUCGUGAUGUCGGCAUCAAUU
rfam:Paracoccus sp. SM22M-07 scaffold11, whole genome shotgun sequence.